rnacentral:rRNA from 1 species
CAGCAGCCACGGUAAUACGUAGGGUGCAAGCGUUAAUCGGAAUUACUGGGCGUAAAGCGUGCGCAGGCGGUUUGUUAAGACAGAUGUGAAAUCCCCGGGCUCAACCUGGGAACUGCAUUUGUGACUGGCAAGCUAGAGUGUGGCAGAGGGGGGUGGAAUUCCGCGUGUAGCAGUGAAAUGCGUAGAUAUGCGGAGGAACACCGAUGGCGAAGGCAGCCCCCUGGGCCAACACUGACGCUCAUGCACGAAAGCGUGGGGAGCAAACAGGAUUAGAUACCCCCGUAGUCCCUGUCUCUUAUAC